rnacentral:lncRNA from 1 species
AAGGACUGGGAAGUGUCCAACCUGACCACCGCCCAGGGUUAGCUUCCAGCUGGAAUAGAAAGCAUCCUGUGUCCUUCCAGGUUUGGAAGUUUGAUUGCCCUCUCGGACUGGACACUCCGAUUGCCGAGUGAAGUCUGCUUUUAUUGUUUACAAAGACUCCAGGACUGUCUGUUACCUAAGAGUGAGCAAAGCCUGAGGCUGCAUGACUGCUGGAGGUCUUACCCACCAGCAGGGAGGGUCAGAACUUGUAAGCAGAAGAGAGAGGGAGACUAAGACGCUCCAAACGUGCAUGUAUUCUGUUUACUUGAACAGUUGGGCCGUGCUCACCAGUGACUGUUUAGACGCUGGUAGCCAUAUAAACACAGCUGGCCACACCAAACAGGAAGAUCUCCAGUGUCACACCAUCAGGGACCAAACUGAGUUUGAUAUGACGAGUCAAAAGAGGAGGCUCUGUACUGGGGACCCUUGCCCUUGGUGUUUCUUUGGAUUAAGGGUUCCAAUCCAUGAAGAAGGCUACCGUGGAGCUUCUCGUCCACACUUCUCAGUGGACCCAGGCUGGAUCAAAAGCAUAACUCAGACAAAAAUACAAAAACAAACAAACAAACAAACAAACAACCCUGUGACAUAAUAUCGUCAAAGCAUAUGACGUGAGCCCCUCAGGUGCCAAGGAUCUUAUGUGACGAGGUGGCUGAUGUUGGAAAAAGGAUAGAUACCCUGUGAAGAUCUACUCUACUGAGUCAAUCAUCCACAGUUCCGAGAGGAGCCAUCCCCACUCCUUAACUUGAAUGAACAUUCAAGAAUUACCUGCUGGUGCACGUGUGUCUAAUCUAGGACUCAAUGAGACAAUGAUUCUCAGGCCACAGUAAGACUCAAUUGAGCCUAAGAGACUAGAGUUGGUAGCCUGGAGGAAGCUGACCGGCGAAGCCUCCUGAGGAUGGAGAGCAAGAGAUGCCCCUGGAAAGAACACAUCCAGCUGUCAGACGCUAUCUGAAUCCUAGGAAUGCGUUCCUUGCUUCUGAUUCCAGCACCACUAAGCUGACAUUGUUGCCCUCUGGGCAGCUUUUCAAAGGCAGGGGUCACACCAUGAGCUUGGUUUGGUUAUCCGUCUAAAAGUUAUAUCUUCCAUUCUGGAAACACUAACUGACGGAUGUUAUUGCUUGAGACAGCAAUCAGGCGCGGAGAUCAUUUGCAUAAUGGAGUGAAGUGUCGAACUGUGUUUUCUAGUCUACACAACUUGCAAGGCAAAUGCAUUAAACUCAGCCAUUGUGCCUCUGUUACCAAAACUCCUCUGUCUCAUUGAAUUCCGCUGCCUUUCGAUGUGAUCUACAGCAGUAGGCCAGCUUCGUUCCAGUCUAGCAAAGGUAGCCAACUUGAAGUCUGCGGGUCUAGCUGGCUGCAUAUAAUCUUGUGCUUUGACAACUGUGAGGCCUGCAGGUGUAAAGGGGGCAGGGUGGCUGGGCUGAACGAUUAUCCAGAGUCUGCUCUUGGAACUUUAAAACCUGUAGUUCUCUUACAUAAUUUUUAAGGUCUAAAAUACAAAACCAGGAUCGUCAACUCUGUACUUAUAGAUUCAAUACAUAUAUAUUGAUCAUCUGCCAUAUGUAAAAUCCUAUUAUAACUGUGUAGAACACACCAGUGAUAAAUAUAUAGGGAUAUCUGUGCUGAAGGAACUUAGUGUGGGAGGUAGGGAGGAAGGAGACCAUCAUCAACAUUUUUUUCUUUCUUUCUUUGUUUCUUCCUUCCUUUCCUUCCUGUCUGUCUGUCUUCCAUCCUUCUUUCUGUCUGUCUGUCUUCCAUUUUCCUUCCUUCCUUCCUUUUGAGGAAAUAUUAUGUUGGGGAAAGGUUUUACUUAAAGUUUUAAAAGUAAGCAAAGCUUGGUGCAAUGAAGCUUAAUUGGAAUCCAGCACCUGAGAGGUUGAGGCAGGAGGAUCAGGACUUGAAGGCCAGCCUUAGUUACAAGGUGAGUUAGAAGCCAGCCUGGGCUAUAUGAAUCCUUACCUCAAAAAAGGAAAGCAUUUUUCAAAAUCAAAACAGAACAAGAAGAGAAUGUCAAAUGUAGGUGAAGGAAGUAAAUGUGUCUUUGAGAGCUGCUGGCUUGUGUCCACCUUGAACACAGACCCCAGGAGUAAGCAGGUGACACGUUUAGGGGCUAAUAUGAAAACCCUCUACUCCAGGGAGGAAAGCAGAAAUGAUCAGCAGACUUAGGAUAUCUGUUCUAAGUGACAGGUCCUAAGCCCUCACUGUUCUCAUCAGGAGGCAUCUCAGAAUGAAUAGCCCUGCACGCAGUCUGCUCACCUACUAGGGCCAUAGGUGCAUUGUGUCUGGCUAUUCCUAGGUUGCAAUCUGAUAAUUUAACAGUGACCCUGCUUCAAGGCCCUCCAGCCUCUGCAAUCUGUUCCCAACGGGCAGAGGAGGGAGAGAACUGCAGCUGCUAACCAACGCCCCCAGUCACCAAAGAGCAGAAGCCUCUUUGUUUGAUGAAAGCUGAGGCUUUCUCCCUGCUGCUCUUUGCUGCUCCCCACACCCCCAAGCCCUUUAGAUCUAUGCAAAUCCACCCUUGGAGCCUGGCCUGGGAUGCAGGAUCCUUGUUCCCAUUUCCCAGGGAUGUACCUGGAUGUUAGACUUUGUAAAAUUUCAAUUCAAGUCGCCAUUGACUUUUCCACAGUUCUUAUCUUAAAUCAGGUCCUUCCAACAGGGCUUGUGUUAGAGCAAAACCUUGAUGUCAAGUUUGGUCAAGCUUACAGUUUAUAAUGGGAAAAAGCCAUUAUUAUAGGUUAUAUAUUUCCGUCAGCAUCAUUCAGUAUUCACCAAGUCCUCUGUGUUAAGAAAGUCAAACAUUUCCAAUCUUGACCUUUUUUUUUUUCUGUAUCCUAUUUGUAAGAACUAAGCACUCUUUGCUAAGCACAAACAGGCUUGAUUAAUAAACUCAGGAAAUUCACUUAAGGAAUCUGACUCUGUAUAAACAAGUCUAUUGGGCUUCUUAAAGGAUCUUAAGUUCAGGGUUAUUUCUGAGUAUGUCUGGAAAUAAAUGAGAGUCACCUUUGUGGUCUUGAAAGACCAUCUUACAUCUUAGCCACGAGUUCUUCUUUUGUACUGUGGGGAUGGCAGAGGGUAAGUCUCCAUAGCCCCAUCCUAGGUCUGAAGGGUCUGGGCUAUCAUCUUCAUGCCCUGGGCUAUCCUAGGAGGUAACUCCUUUAACAGAGAGCCCUGCUGAUACUCUAGGAGGAAACCCAUUGGCAGUCAGGCCCAGGGCGCCUCACAGCUGUAAGCUCUGUACCGAGGACUAUCAG